rnacentral:rRNA from 1 species
AAGAGUUUGAUCAUGGCUCAGAUUGAACGCUGGCGGCAGGCCUAACACAUGCAAGUCGAACGGUAGCACAGAGAGCUUGCUCUCGGGUGACGAGUGGCGGACGGGUGAGUAAUGUCUGGGAAACUGCCUGAUGGAGGGGGAUAACUACUGGAAACGGUAGCUAAUACCGCAUAACGUCGCAAGACCAAAGAGGGGGACCUUCGGGCCUCUUGCCAUCAGAUGUGCCCAGAUGGGAUUAGCUAGUAGGUGGGGUAACGGCUCACCUAGGCGACGAUCCCUAGCUGGUCUGAGAGGAUGACCAGCCACACUGGAACUGAGACACGGUCCAGACUCCUACGGGAGGCAGCAGUGGGGAAUAUUGCACAAUGGGCGCAAGCCUGAUGCAGCCA